rnacentral:rRNA from 1 species
GAAUGCUGACAUAAGUAACGAUAAAGCGGGUGAAAAGCCCGCUCGCCGGAAGACCAAGGGUUCCUGUCCAACGUUAAUCGGGGCAGGGUGAGUCGACCCCUAAGGCGAGGCCGAAAGGCGUAGUCGAUGGGAAACGGGUUAAUAUUCCCGUACUUGGUGUUACUGCGAAGGGGGGACGGAGAAGGCUAUGUUGGCCGGGCGACGGUUGUCCCGGUUUAAGCGUGUAGGUGUGUGUUCCAGGUAAAUCCGGUUCACUUUAACACUGAGGCGUGACGACGAGGCACUACGGUGCUGAAGCAACAAAUGCCCUGCUUCCAGGAAAAGCCUCUAAGCAUCAGGUAACAUCAAAUCGUACCCCAAACCGACACAGGUGGUCAGGUAGAGAAUACCAAGGCGCUUGAGAGAACUCGGGUGAAGGAACUAGGCAAAAUGGUGCCGUAACUUCGGGAGAAGGCACGCUGACACGUAGGUGAAGUGAUUUACUCAUGGAGCUGAAGUCAGUCGAAGAUACCAGCUGGCUGCAACUGUUUAUUAAAAACACAGCACUGUGCAAACACGAAAGUGGACGUAUACGGUGUGACGCCUGCCCGGUGCCGGAAGGUUAAUUGAUGGGGUCAGCGCAAGCGAAGCUCCUGAUCGAAGCCCCGGUAAACGGCGGCCGUAACUAUAACGGUCCUAAGGUAGCGAAAUUCCUUGUCGGGUAAGUUCCGACCUGCACGAAUGGCGUAAUGAUGGCCAGGCUGUCUCCACCCGAGACUCAGUGAAAUUGAACUCGCUGUGAAGAUGCAGUGUACCCGCGGCAAGACGGAAAGACCCCGUGAACCUUUACUAUAGCUUGACACUGAACAUUGAGCCUUGAUGUGUAGGAUAGGUGGGAGGCUUUGAAGUGUGGACGCCAGUCUGCAUGGAGCCGACCUUGAAAUACCACCCUUUAAUGUUUGAUGUUCUAACGUGGACCCGUUACCCGGGUUGCGGACAGUGUCUGGUGGGUAGUUUGACUGGGGCGGUCUCCUCCUAAAGAGUAACGGAGGAGCACGAAGGUUGGCUAAUCCUGGUCGGACAUCAGGAGGUUAGUGCAAUGGCAUAAGCCAGCUUGACUGCGAGCGUGACGGCGCGAGCAGGUGCGAAAGCAGGUCAUAGUGAUCCGGUGGUUCUGAAUGGAAGGGCCAUCGCUCAACGGAUAAAAGGUACUCCGGGGAUAACAGGCUGAUACCGCCCAAGAGUUCAUAUCGACGGCGGUGUUUGGCACCUCGAUGUCGGCUCAUCACAUCCUGGGGCUGAAGUAGGUCC